rnacentral:rRNA from 1 species
CGUGUAGGCGGUAUUGUAAGUCAGAUGUAAAAGGUUACGGCUUAGCCGUAGAGUGUCAUUUGAAACUACAGUACUUGAGUGCGAGAGAGGGUAGUGGAAUUCCCAGUGUAGCGGUGAAAUGCGUAGAUAUUGGGAAGAACACCAGUAGCGAAGGCGGCUACCUGGCUCGCAACUGACGCUAAGGCGCGAAAGCGUGGGGAGCAAACA